rnacentral:rRNA from 1 species
CCUACGGGAGGCAGCAGUAGGGAAUUUUCGGCAAUGGGGGGAGCCCUGACCGAGCAACGCCGCGUGAACGAAGAAGUUACUCGUAGUGUAAAGUUCUUUUAACAGGGAAGAAAGAGAAAUUUGACGGUAUCUGAAGCACAAGCUCCGGCUAACUACGUGCCAGCAGCCGCUGUAAUACGUAGGGAGCGUGCGGUAUCUGGAAUUAUUGGGCGUAAAGGGUGCGUAGAUGGCAUAGUAAGUCUUUGGUAAAAAUGCUGGGCUCAACCGCGUAGGGCAAAAAAGACUGGAAAACUAGAGUAUGACAGAGGUAAGUGGAACAACAUGAGUAGCGGUAAAAUGCGUAGAUAUAUGUUAGAACACCAGUAGCGAAGGCAGCUUGCUAGGUCGAUACUGACAUUGAAGCACGAGAGCGUGGGGAGCGAACAGGAUUAGAUACCCCAGUAGUC